rnacentral:misc_RNA from 1 species
AAAGUUCUCAACCACAUACAUUAUCAAUGAUGUGGCUUGGAUAGUGGGGGUUUGCAGGCUUGAAAGUCUGCUCUCCUGAAAUGCAUUAGUGGUGUCUGAGCUACUACUAGAUGUGAUAAUUAUCUACAUCGAAAAACGUAUGCUUGCAGCAGCCGCUUCAUAUUUAUGAAUUUGAUGA